rnacentral:misc_RNA from 1 species
CAACAUCUUUUUGGGAUGCAAAGGUGGCCAGUCAUAUGCCAACUUUCACCUCCGUCAGGAUACGCAUAAGGGCAUGACGGGGUGUAGGAAUCCUUUAAAACCAGGUUCCAUGUUGCAUUUGGAUCCUCAGUUGCGAAACAGGUCCAAGUAGGAGUAGAAUUUUCAUAUCUACUAUGUGUGAUGCGAUUGAACUUCUUCACAUCCUUGUUCUUAUUUAUGUCAUAGGGGUCUAUGUCAACAGUGAAGACAUCUCCAUAAGGCCUCACAGAGUGCAGGAACAUUGGUAAAGAAAUUGGAUCAACAGACACUGCGGCAAGAUCCGCAGUCACAGCUAUGCUCUUUCCAUCAGGACUGAAACAUGGAUGGUUCACAUGCCCUGCAAGAUCA